rnacentral:rRNA from 1 species
AACGCUGGCGGCGUGCCUAAUACAUGCAAGUCGAACGGCUUUUCCAUGGAAGCUUGCUUCCACUGAGAAGAUAGUGGCGAACGGGUGAGUAACACGUGGGUAACCUGCCCAUAAGAGGGGGAUAACAUCCGGAAACGGGUGCUAAUACCGCAUAGUUUUCUUGAUCGCAUGAUCGGGAAAGGAAAGACGGCCUUUGUGCUGUCGCUUAUGGAUGGACCCGCGGCGUAUUAGUUAGUUGGUGAGGUAACGGCUCACCAAGACGAUGAUACGUAGCCGACCUGAGAGGGUGAUCGGCCACAUUGGGACUGAGACACGGCCCAAACUCCUACGGGAGGCAGCAGUAGGGAAUCUUCCGCAAUGGACGAAAGUCUGACGGAGCAACGCCGCGUGAGUGAAAGAAGGUUUUCGGAUCGUAAAACUCUGUUGUCAGAGAAGAACAAGUUGGAGAGUAACUGCUCCAGCCUUGACGGUAUCUGACCAGAAAGCCACGGCUAACUACGUGCCAGCCGCCGC